ACCCUCCGGUUCCCUUUCCCAUCAGAUCUGAGCCCCGGUGUUGGGGUUGUAAAAGGAGGGAAAGUAACACUGAACCUGGCCUCACAGCUUUGUAGCAUGUGGGCUGAUUUCAAACAAGG